rnacentral:rRNA from 1 species
GACAGAGGGGGCAAGCGUUGCUCGGAAUUACUGGGCGUAAAGGGCGCGUAGGCGGGAUGGCAAGUCGGUCGUGAAAUCCUUCGGCUCAACCGAAGAACGUCGAUCGAUACUGCUGUUCUUGAGGGUUGCAGAGGAGACUGGAAUUCCCGGUGUAGCGGUGAAAUGUGUAGAGAUCGGGAGGAACACCGGUGGCGAAGGCGGCCAACUGGACGAAUACUGACGCUGAGACUCGAAAGCGUGGGGAGCAAACAGG